rnacentral:lncRNA from 1 species
GUGAUUUGUAUCGUCGGCGGCCCCAAUUCUAAUGAUUAUGGAACUAACCGGAUUUUGCAUCACACUAUUGGGUUGCCUGAUUUUAGCCAAGAGCUCAGGUGCUUCCAGACAGUCACCUGUAUUCAAGUGAGUGUUAAUCUUUUUGCAUUUAUCAUAUAGUAUAUGUGCAUUUAUGCGUUUUUAUGCGGCAAUGUGUAUUUUAUGAUAUAUAUUGUCUGGUGAUGAUCAUGACGGUGGGAAUUUGGCAGGCAGUAGUGAAUAACUUGGAUGAUGCACAUGAGCAGAUUGACACUGCAAUUUCUACUGCUUUGAAAGAAAGCAAGCCCGCUUAUAUUAGCAUAAGUUGUAAUUUGCCUGGAAUUCCUCAUCCAACCUUCAUCAGGGAACCUGUGCCUUUCCUUCUUGCUCCUAAGUAUGCCCUUCUCUCUCAAUAUUAUUACAAUGUUUGUGGGUUUGUUUCGUCUUCUGGUGAACUUCAAUGAUAUUAUUAGUUUGAUUGAAAAUGGAAUUAGUCAUAGCCUUGUAUUUUGUAAUGCUAUAUUUCUCACUUUGUUAGCAAGCAAGAUGGAAACUUUAUUAUAAGAUGGAAGUUAUAUGUAUGGCAUACAUGUUAAAACUAAACUUUUCUGAAGUGAGUGAAAAUAGGAAGGCUUGGACAUAAAUUUACAGAUGUACAAAGCAUGAUUCAGAGGAUAAAUUCUUUGAUAGCUUUCAUUUUCUUGUUAAUCUUCCCCAUUUGCUGCAGGAGUUACAAAAGAUCUAGCAUUUAAUUUUAACUUAUUGGCAAUGGUCAAACAUAAUUAAGACCAAGUAAUCAUCUUCAAUCUCAGUUUGCUUUGUAUUCAUAUUGUUAUAUGUGAAUCUGAAGGCUAAGUUAUUGUUCCUGAUGUGUUAUUUUAACAAUGUUCUGUAUAUUCCACUGAAUAGGUAUAGGGAAAAUACUAGAUAAGUAAGUUGUGUAAAAUUCAUUAAAAUCCUUUCUUAAGUAUCAUUAUUCUGCACUACCAAUAGAUAGAGAGUUUAAAGUGGCACCAUUUACCUUUUAUCAUGCAGGGUAAGCAAUCAAUUAGGAUUAGAGGCAGCUGUUGAAGCAACUGCUGAAUUUCUGAAUAAAGCUGUGAAACCCGUCAUCGUGGGGGGACCUAAAUUAAGGGUGGCAAAGGCGCAGAAGGCUUUUGUAGAGCUAGCAGAUGCCAGUGGGUAUCCAGUUGCUGUUAUGCCCGCAGGCAAAGGGCUAGUUCCAGAACAUCAUCCACACUUCAUCGGGACAUAUUGGGGUGCUGUCAGCACUUGCUUCUGUGGGGAGAUAGUGGAGUCUUCUGAUGCCUAUGUUUUUGUUGGCCCUAUUUUCAAUGAUUACAGUUCUGUUGGAUAUUCCUUGCUGGUCAAGAAGGAGAAAGCAAUCAUAGUGCAGCCUAAUCGUGUGACUAUAGGCAAUGGCCCUUCUUUUGGCUGUAUAUUUAUGGCUGACUUCUUAAGUGCGUUGGCCAAGAAGUUGAAAAAGAACAGCACAGCCAUGGAAAAUUACAGACGCAUCUUUGUACCUCCAGGUGUCCCUCUGAAGUGUGAGAACAAUGAACCCCUUAGGGUCAAUGUACUCUUCAAACACAUUCAGGUAAGCCCAAAUGUGCUCAAGUAACAUAAUCUUUGCUAAUUUUGUAGAUUAUAUGAGAAGUCUAUUAAGUGCAUGAUCAUAGCACAGUCACUGGGUCUUUCAGGUAGUUUUUUGGUUUGGUUAGGUUAAUGUCUGCCACUUACUGAUCUUGAGAAUCCAAAAAAGUGUCUUGCUAGUUGACUCGGCCUCUGUCUCUCUCAAAAAACUUUUUUUUUACAGCAUCUAAAAUAGUGCUUUUUAUAAAAAGCACUUUUCUGGCCUCCAAACUCUGCCAAAUAGGCUCCUAGUAGAAUAGGGGUCAAUGCUUUUACUUCUUACUGGGUCUCUUAGUUCUGUCCGUAUGAUGGUCCUUUUUCGUGGAGCUAUCAGCUAUUGUCUUACUGCAAGGGGUUGGCCACGGUGAUAAUAUGAACUGCUAUCUUAAAAUUCUCCUGAUUAUUGGCUUCAUAGGAGAAAAUCUGACACUUGCAAAGAGCCUAAUAAUAGUGUAAUUAUUGAAGAAGUGGGAUUCUUCUUCAUAGUCCAUUAUCCAUGUGUUAUUCUUCCUUCAAUUAUUUAUGUGCUUUGCUAACAAAAUCUCUAACGUGGAAUAGCAAUUGCUAAGCGGAGAAACUGCGGUAAUUGCUGAAACUGGAGAUUCAUGGUUCAACUGUCAGAAACUCCGCCUCCCUGAGAAUUGUGGGUGAGUCAUUCACCAGACUGGAGCGUUAUAAAAACUGAACGUGCUCCUCUAUGUUUAUCAUCAUGAAUAGGGUGAAAAUUGUUUGCAAAUGUUUUUGUGUAGGUAUGAAUUCCAGAUGCAGUAUGGAUCCAUUGGAUGGUCAGUUGGUGCCACCCUUGGGUAUGCUCAGGCUGCCAGAAAUAAGCGUGUGAUUGCUUGCAUUGGUGACGGAAGUUUUCAGGUGAGUGAUACGACUCUUAUGAGCUCAUCUUCACCAUGAUAUAGCAUUAAGAAAUAUGUACAAAAGAGAGAAGGAAGAAUAAAAGAAAAGUGAUGAUCUAUACAAGUGCAAAAUGCUUUACUAUUCACAGUGGCUUUAAUUCAUUAUUUUAACCUAGUUAAUCUUGAAACUAUGAGGGAUGGAAUUUAAGGGAAGUUUGAAAAGAUGUAGUAAUGGCUGAACAGUGGAUAUCAGGCAAGACAUGCUCCAUUGUUACCCAAAAAGGAAAGUGAGAAAAUGGAUUUGGGAAGUUGUGCUUUGUAAUAAUGAACAAAUUGUGAUGUCGUCUGCAAUCAAUCCUGUGACUAACAAUUGUUAACGUGUAUGAUGCGGUUAUACUUUGUCUUUAUUCAGGUAACAGCUCAGGAUGUUUCAACAAUGAUCUGUUCGGGACAAAGGAGUAUAAUAUUCCUCAUCAACAAUGGGGGUUAUACUAUUGAAGUAGAGAUUCAUGAUGGCCCCUACAACGUGAUCAAGAACUGGGAUUACACCGGCUUUGUCAAUGCCAUCCACAACGGUGAAGGCAAAUGCUGGACAGCAAAGGUUUGAAUGAAUCGAACAAACACACUUCAUAUGAUUUUUCUGUUCUGAUCUCCUGCAUUAUGUUAGCUGUCAUGCUUCUUUAUUCCUAGCAACAAGAUCUCCAACCCUGUUAACUCAACGCCCUUUAUUCACGUAGUCAUAUCAAUUCUAUUGCAUAGUUGAAUCCCACAUUAUUUUUGUUGUAUUUCUUCCAACUUAGUACUUUUUCCUUUAUUUUGAACCAUGUUCUUGCAUAAUUCUGUCCUUUUCCUGUCUUCAUCUUUCUUAGCUACACUGGUGUUUAUCAUGUCCCAUGGCCUUGCAAAGUGGAUUCCAAACUAAAAUCCUAUUGCAAAUGAGAACCUUAGACAGCAAUGGCUGCUGAAAUUAUAAGUUGCAAAACAGAAAGAUGGAUUGCACAGUUAAGAUUUCGAAGAUUAUAAUUUUAGGGUGGACUGAUGAGUUAGGUACUAAUACAGGUCCACACGGAGGAUGAACUGACAGAGGCAAUUGCAACAGCAACAGGAGAACAAAAGGAUUCUCUAUGUUUCAUUGAAGUUUUGGUGCACAUGGAUGACACUAGCAAAGAGCUGCUGGAAUGGGGUUCUAGAGUUUCUUCUGCAAACUGCCGUCCCCCAAAUCCACAAUAAGAUUUGCAUGUUUGUCUCUCUUUUCUGCUUGUCUGGAGCCCCGUGAUUAUAACUAUUGUGUGAUGUACAUUAAAUUUUGUGGUGGUUGCGGAAAGAGUUCAAGAUGAUCAAGAAUAUGAGCAAUUUAGAUUUGUGUUGACGUGUUCUAUGUCACGUGCAAAGUUCAUAGACAAGUUGCUCUGCUAGACCUCUUAUCCUGUUUGCUGACUUUAAUGCAUUAAUAGCUCAUACUUCUAAACAAUCUAUUUAUUUCCUUUCCAAAAAAAAAAAUUAUUUAUUUUCAUCAAAGAUAAGAGAAAAUUCAUUAAGGGUUAGUUGAGCUUAAAUCCAGAGGAUUGAAAAAAAAAUAAAUUACCUCAGCUAAGGCAGAAUAGACGCCACAAAACCAGGUUUAAGCCCCCAAUUCAAAAACAACAACAGAACUCACCCAACUAGUGGGGACUCUAGAAGUGUCGGCAAUCUAUCACUACCGUCCAUGCUAAAUCGACUGUCUGAGGGUAGCUUGAAAAACCUUGUACAGCCAAGAAAAGCACAAUUUGCUCCAAACGGAGUCCCAGCAAGAGGAAGAAAACCAUGAAGUUCAAGAUCCAAGCCAGUCGCAUCAAGAAAACCAGAAGCGAUUUGCAUCAUGGUGAGGAAUAAAGCCUUCACAAGGGACCCAGAAGGUGAGACGCAACAAAGAACAAGGAGGCUCAUCGAAAAACACCCUUCCAGAAAAGGAUGCGACAGAGACUUAAGAGGGUUCCAGUCAAGGAGGGUUGAUAUCGCAAUCAAAACAGAAAAAAAUCGAGGCUAGUGGUGGUCAAAGCUCCCUCGAUCGAUGUUGAGGGUCACUAGAGGCUUACAUGUAAGCAUGGUACCGACCCCAGGAGGUAUCUCAACAUCUCCAACAGCCACCGCAGAUUUGAAAGACAGCUUUUUUCUAAGCAAAACAUCGACAUGCAAUUUUAAAUACAAAAAUUGCCUAUUUACACUAGCUUCAGAGGCUAAAGGGAAACCAUACACCGGGGAAAAUGCAGGAGAUGACUGCAAGCUCGAUGUGAAGAUAUAUACCUUCCGGAAAGUUAGCAAAUAUGGCCAAACAAAUAAGAUGAAUUUUAACACUUUCUAAUAAUUUUAACUUAGCUCACUUCUCCAAAACGAAUAAG